GGGACACGCGGUCGCGACACUGAGGGGCGUCCCGGGGGGAAAGGACACACUGGGCAAUGUGUGCGCCCAGGGCCGCCCGGAGGGUCUGAGCGGGCCAGGCCCCCGCUGUUACCUGGGGUUGAGCGCUGCAAGCAUUUCCCUUCUCUUUUAUUUUGUUUCCUUCGCACAGCCGGGCUGCAGCUCGUGAGAAGUAUGCGAGGCGUGGGGCUGCGGGCUGGUUUUUGGUUGGUUUUUUUUGGGUUUUUUUUUUUUUGGUCAGCGCUUGUAAGCCCGAAUCGCGCCCCUGCAAACUGAGAACUUCCUUUAUGGGGAAGAAUUUUCUCACGUAAGGGCUGCAGAUACUGGAUUGUAAAGGUUUUAAUAACAACAUACAGGGGAACAGAUUUCAUAAUCUUAAAGUUUGUUUGAAACAUAAAGUCUUUGUUACGUUAAUAUUUUAGAAGAAGAACUUUCAGAACCUUAGGAAAUAAAAAUAUAAGCCCUAAGAGUCAGUUAAACCUUAAGAAGCAAACCUCUAUUUCUUUUCAAAAGCAUUCUUACACGUGUUUACACAGUGAAAUAUUUGGUGGAAAGAUCCUGGUCCAUGCCUGGGCAGUAUUGAAGCUAUUAAGCUGGCCUGACAGGUUACCUAGGGAUUCUCUUGCCUUGGAGAGCCUUUUGUUAAUGUAAAGCUGAUGUGGUUGUUUUCUGCCUCCUCUCUUGUGGUUCGUGUUGCAUGAAGGAAACGCGGUGUGGCCAGAGCACAGUAUUUACCGAGGAAGCCAGAAGAACCAGAACCAAUGUUUGUUCCCAAAGAGGAUUUCAUGCCAGCUGCCAGAAAUACAUCUACUCAUGUCUUUCCCUGUAAUGGUCCUCUGCCUCCUCUUGGCAUAAAUGGUUUGGAUAAUACAGUCCUUCACUAUUUG